rnacentral:lncRNA from 1 species
GCGCAUGUAGAGACAACGAGAAAACAACAAGUAAACGCUUGGUAUGUCAGCAUUAUAAUAAGGGAAGUGCUACAUGUACAUAAUUGUGUCCAUAAUUACACAUGGCACUGAAUCCAACCUUUAAUAAAUCUCACACAUGCACAUUAACAAUCGGAUGAUUGCUACAUCACAUUAUGAAUACAUCAACUACAGAAAAAAAUGAGGUGGAUUAGACAAUACCACAUACAUGAGCGCAUGUAGAGACAACGAGAAAACAACAAGUAAAUGCUUGGUAUGUCAGCAUUAUAAUAAGGGAAGUGCUACAUGUACAUAAUUGUGUCCAUAAUUACACAUGACACUGAAUCCAACCUUUAAUUUAAAUCUCACACAUGCACAUUAACAAUCGGAUGAUUGCUACAUCACAUUAUGAAUAUCAUUAUGUGCAAUAAUUAUGUACAAAUAGAAUUUUUCUUAUAAUAAACAAGAUUUUUUCUUUUUCCUUUUUUUUUUUUUAAUAAUACUAUCGAUGACCAUCCCAUCUUACAAAACACCGCACUAAGUGACUGUUUUGUUAUAAGCUAUGAAGAUUGAUAAUUAAAGUGUCUGUGACAACAAAAGAUCACUAUCACACAGAGCUUGAAUAUAAAUCAAAGUACGUAUUAUUACGUUC